rnacentral:rRNA from 1 species
UACAGAGGGCGCGAGCGUUGUCCGGAAUCACUGGGCGUAAAGGGCGCGUAGGUGGCGGCAUAAGGCCGUGGUGAAAGUCGGGGGCUCAACCCCUGAUCGGCCAUGGCAACUGUGUCGCUAGGGCACCGUAGAGGCAGAUGGAAUUCCGGGUGUAGCGGUGGAAUGCGUAGAGAUCCGGAAGAACACCAGUGGCGAAGGCGGUCUGCUGGGCGGUGAGCUCGCGAGAGCUCAAGAGCCGACACUGAGGCGCGACAGCGUGGGGAGCAAACAGG